rnacentral:rRNA from 1 species
AGGAUAGUAAGAUUUUUUAGUUGUACCUUUUGUAUCAGGGGAGGUCAAAAGUUCCGUAAUUUGGUAAUCGAGUCAGCUAGAUCUUUGUUUUUAGAGUAUAGUUAAAUUUAGGCUCAGUAUUUAUCAAGGGGUGAAAAGUGUACGAGAGCUGAGAUAUCUAAUUGCUAUGUGUAAAUAAGAGGCAAAGCUCUUAUUGCUCCACAAAAAAUAAUUUUUUGUGGAGCUAGGCUUUAAAUUAGCCACGUUAAGAUAUUGUUUUUAAUAAUUUUUUAUGUGAUUAAGAGGUGGAGUUUUUAGUUACUAAGGUUAUCGGUAUUCUUUUAAAACAAUGAAUUUAUUGAACUAAUAGCGGAGUCAUAAAAUAACUCAGAUUAUGCGGGAUAGUUUAGCAAAAACAUUUCUUUUCUAUUAAAAAGUAAAGCCUGCCCGGUGCUUAGUAAACGGCUGCGGUAAUCUAACCGUGCUAAGGUAGCAUAAUCAAUUGCUUCUUAAUUGGGGGCUGGAAUGAAGGGUUAAACCUGUGUCUUAAGUUUGUAGGCUAGUAUGGAUAUUUAAGUAGAGGUAAUAAUACUUCUAGCUUCUAGGGGACGAUAAGACCCUAGAAGCUUUAUUAAGGGUUAUCUAGUAGUGGUAGGUAUAUAUUUUUUUUACUGGGGCGGUAGCGGUAAAUAAACUACUGUUUAUUGAAAGGUCCUCUUAUAGAGAUAGUACGGAUUAGUUACUCUAGGGAUAACAGUACAAUAGUUUUGAAGAGACCUUAUCGAUAAAUAUGCUUGUAACCUCGAUGUUGAAUUAAAAUGUCUCCGUGACGCAGGUGGUUCGAGAGAAGGUUUGUUCAACC